rnacentral:lncRNA from 1 species
CACUCUUGCAACGAUUCUUUGCUUGCUUCUCCCCACUGUAGUGUCUUUUCAUUUACCAACUCCUUUCUCAGGGUCUGGUAGGGGAUCCCAGGCCAGCAUCCUUCUCUGAGCAGCUGCCCUCCCAUGUGCCUGCUCUCAGUGCCUCCCCAGCGCCUCUGGCACAUGGCCAUGAUCCUUUCCUUCUGGGGACGUGCCGUGGUCAAGGUGAAAAGUGGCUGAGGUGAAAAGUGCAAGCAAAAUCCUUGUUAACAUUAUGGGAAUACAUUACUGUACGUGUUUGUAUAUAAACUCUUGGAGCUUCACCAAGUUAACUCUGUGUCAUGAUGCAUGCAACCACGUGUGGGACUAUUGCUUCAUUUCAUAGAUAAGAUUGCUCUUUGCUAGGAGGCCUUCUUCUGAUUUGGUGGGGUUUUUUGCUACAUGUACUUAUUCUGGAUCUGUUUGUAAUGUUGAUUUGUUUUUCCUUGUGAUGAGGUAAACACAGCUACAGACUCCAGUUCUGUGUUUCCUCACCUACAGCUCAGGGACACUGUUGUAAAUGACACUGCACAGACAAGCCAAGCCAGAAUCCAAAGCUCUGGAUUUUGACAUUGCUCAGCCAUCCAGAUUUGGCCAUGUGUUUAGCGACGAGACCCUUCUCUUAAGUCACUAAAGACCAUCAAACACAUGUUGAGCUAUGGCAUUGAAAAAAACCUACAAAACCUGUGCCUGUGACUUUGGUAAACAGCAGCAAAAGAGAUCACUACCUCCCAUGAAGAAAGAACCUCACAGGAAGAGAAGUCAUCUCCAUACUACCUAAUGUGUGGAAAAAACAACAGCCAGAAGUUUACUGAACAAGCAGGCACAGAUUUUUCCCUGCCAAAAGAUGUAAUGUCACAUGGAUCUGGUAACUCUGCUGGCCUGGAGCCUCCACCAGACUGCUGUGGUGGCUCCCACCAGAGACCGGUGUUGUGAGCGCACAGGGGCUGCAGCAUGAUGACCUUUCCUUGGCUUUCUGCUGCUCCCCACAUCUGCUGCAAAGCCACUUUCCCUGUUUAUUGUGAGACCAUGCUGUCACCACCUGCCACUGCUGUCAUUGUCCCCACACCUUGGACCUAGGCUGUAUUAAUUCCUGCAGGGACCUGUUCAGAGUCAGCCCACGCAUAGCAAGUCUCUAACAACUUCUCUAAGGAACUUUAGAAACCAUUAAGCUGGCACAAGACAAGUACAGACCCAGAGCCUCCCUGGAGCACAGCAGAUGCCCUAUCUACCUGCCACAAUCUUCAUGUCCUCCUGAACAGAGAAGGUGUGCUCCCAACAGAUAAGAGUUAGCCCCAGAACUUUGGUGUAACUGCCAGAUUAAAGAACAAAUAUAAAAAAAACCCUUUAAAACCACUGUAUUUUUAUUGUAAAAUCACUUAUUUAUGUCACAAGACAA